rnacentral:rRNA from 1 species
AAUGGGCGAAAGCCUGACGGAGCAACGCCGCGUGAGUGAUGACGGCCUUCGGGUUGUAAAACUCUGUGAUCCGGGACGAAAAGGCAGAGUGCGAAGAACAAACUGCAUUGACGGUAACGGAAAAGCAAGCCACGGCUAACUACGUGCCAGCAGCCGCGGACAUACGUAGGUGGCAAGCGUUGUCCGGAAUUAUUGGGCGUAAAGCGCNCGCAGGGGGCUUCCCAAGUCGCUCUUAAAAGUGCGGGGCUUAAACCCGUGAUGGGAAGGAAACUGGGAAGCUGGAGUAUCGGAGAGGAAAGUGGAAUUCCUAGUGUAGCGGUGAAAUGCGUAGAGAUUAGGAAGAGCACCGGUGGCGAAGGCGACUUUCUGGACGAAAACUGACGCUGAGUCGCGAAAGCGUGGGGAGCAAA